UUUGAACUGUGACUUGGCUUUAGACUGAAUAAGAGAGUUCAGUGGCCGGCCUGGUGGCUCCGCGGGCUGAACCAUCGGGCACUUGUAAAGUUCAGAAAGCGGAUUGACUCCCCCGGAGUCUCUGGAGUUGAAGUCGAGCCCCGAGCCUCCCCGUCAGUCUGAGAUCUAAGCCCCGGGUGUAGCUCUCGUGCUGUCGGGGUGAGUUUGUGGAGGUGGCUGUUCUCUACCACGCCGGCCGUUUUGGGGGGUUCCAUUUUCGGGGCCCUCCAAAACCGGGAAAAAUGGGGGGUUUAAGUCAUUUAUAAAUGCAUAGUUCGGAAUUCAAUUCUAAAAAGCAGCCCCUUAUACCACUGUGACACCUGCAGGACAGGUGUGGCACUAGCAGUGAAAGAGAGGUGCAGUCCUAACUAGGAGCGACAGGGGUCUCUCUCCAGCACAUUUCUCCUGGUUCUAGAGAUCAACCGGCCGCAAGCUGAACGAGUCCGGCGAACAACCAGGGCGAUGUCACUGUAUUCGGGUGUCUGAAAGUCCUCAGCCGUUAUAUACAUUAUAAACGAUUUGGUAAGUUAAGGCUUAUUUUUAUCUUCAGUACCGUGAGUCUUGAGCCCUUGUAACAGAAUCCACAGCUGUCAUUCAGGAGCCGGGCCCGCCCCCAGAGUGACCUUCCUCAGCGGACACGCCCCGUCCACCUGUUCCACAGGUGCGCCCGGCAAGAUGGCGGCAGGGCGAGUGUCUGCGGCGUGAGGUGACAAAAGGAUUUCAAGAACGGGACUCCAGUUUUGGAAAAAUGGUGUUUUCCAAGGACGCCGAAAAGAGUCUCCUGUCCGUUGGAGCGUGCUCUCGAAGUUUUAGAAGCCUGGAUUCAGCUCUGGGACAAAAGGAUUUCAAGAACGGACGUCCACUUAUGAAAGUUUUUUUUUCCAAGUUCUGCGGCUCCUCACGACAUCUCUGCGCUCCGACUAUCUCCUUUCCAGCAACUCGACGAGCGUUGGCAAGUUCUUCUCGACAAUGUGUGCUUUUUCUUACAGUUGAUUUUUGUUACCAGUGGCUUGAUCUGUAAUGUCCCGAUUCAGUGCUGUAUUUUAUUCUUG
rnacentral:lncRNA from 1 species